CAGUAGCCACGGGAAUACGUAGGUGGCGAGCGUUGUCCGGAAUUAUCGGGCGUAAAGGGAGCGCAGGCGGACAUAUAAGUCCAUCUUAAAAGUGCGGGGCUCAACCCCGUGAGGGGAUGGAAACUGUAUGCCUUGAGUGUAGGAGAGGAAAGCGGAAUUCCCAGUGUAGCGGUGAAAUGCGUAGAUAUUGGGAGGAACACCAGUGGCGAAGGCGGCUUUCUGGACUGCAACUGACGCUGAGGCUCGAAAGCCAGGGGAGCGAACGGGAUUAGAUACCCCCGUAGUCCCUGUCUCUUAUACC
rnacentral:rRNA from 1 species